rnacentral:misc_RNA from 1 species
GUCCUGCUGAGCUUGUCGAAGCAUCUCUCCCGCUUCGUUGCAAUGGUAACUUAUCGAAGCGGGAGAGAUGCUUCGACAAGCUCAGCAGGAC